CAAUUAACAGACGGUUUGGAUGGUAAUGAGACAUCAGAGGAACGCUUGGAGGUGUAGAAAAAGCACAGCUGGCAACCAGAGCCGAAAAGAGCAUUGACAUGACUCCAGCAUGGAGCUGCUGAGCACCCUGAUUAGCCUUGUGUGAAAGCCAUUCCUACUGUCUUUGGGGCACAGUAUUUGGGGAGUGUGUGCAUUUGUCUGGGUGGAAGACCUUACCUUUGUUGGAGUGGAUGCUUUUCCUCAGCAAGCACCUGAGCAGGUUGACUGUUACAUAGAGAAAUGAUGCUAUCACACACUGGUCCUGCCUUCAUUUAAAUUAGUUGGGCCACUAGAACUAGAAAUGGGACCUUGGCUGACUCUGUACUCAGCCAAAACUCUUCUCC